rnacentral:rRNA from 1 species
UACGGAGGAUGCGAGCGUUAUCCGGAUUUAUUGGGUUUAAAGGGUGCGCAGGCGGAAGAUCAAGUCAGCGGUAAAAUUGAGAGGCUCAACCUCUUCGAGCCGUUGAAACUGGUUUUCUUGAGUGAGCGAGAAGUAUGCGGAAUGCGUGGUGUAGCGGUGAAAUGCAUAGAUAUCACGCAGAACUCCGAUUGCGAAGGCAGCAUACCGGCGCUCAACUGACGCUCAUGCACGAAAGUGUGGGUAUCGAACAG